rnacentral:lncRNA from 1 species
CUUCCUCUCUUCUCUAAACCGGCGACCAGGAGAACUUCUCCUGUCGACGGGUAGCUCGGCGUGGGGGCAUAACCCUGCCGGCAACCACGGGUCAAGGCUACGAUCUACGUAGCCGAGGUCCUCCUACCUUGGGCAAUACCGCCCUUGACAACCUCUGUCCUAUAAGUUUUGAUUCCUUGAUCUCAAUGUGAGAAAUACCUUCGAUCCAACCACAUGUAACUUCCAUUUUUAACAAAUAUAGCAUUCCAUCUGUCAUAUAAACUCUAUCUCAUCUGUCCUUUUCUUCCUAUAUAUUUUUUCUUGCUUCAUAUAAGCACCCUUGUUCUCAUUAUCCUAUAAAUGGGUUGUCAGAUUUAUGCACAUGAAUUGUUAUAUGCAGGGGUUGGAAAUCUACAGAUGGUAGUCAUUUUCACUUUCUAUUCCAGAUUCUUUGCAUUAACUAUGAUUAAGCUUCACAAUCCUAUUUAAACAAUAUAUUUAACUUAUUUGUCUACUUAUCUUGAUUCAAUUAUUUAAAUCAGUGAUUACUUAAGGGUAUCACUGUUACUUUACAACAAACUGAACAUAACCUUUUUAUGUCAUCAUGUCUGAGAACUAAAUCAUGAAAUAAUUUGUUGCAGGGUUGACUUUUUAUAUCUCCAAGAAUAUUUGGGUUUUACACAAAUAUUUUUGGCCACAAAACAAAAUUCUUUUUUCUUUGUGAAGAUAUUCACUACAUCGUACAGGUCCCUACGACCUUAUCUUCAAUGGGAAGUCCAUCUCUGGUGAUUAUUCUUUGAAAGGACAGAUGAAUGAAGGCAAAAACAUGGAGCAGGGCAACUGGACAGUUAAGGGAGACUAAAGUUCCAUUUCCAGUCUUUUGUCUCAUUCAGUGGCACAUAAGUAUGUACAUUUUCUUGCAUGAUUUUUUAUCCUUUACAUUUGACUUAGUAUUCAAAUAAUCAUAAUUGAAAUAAAUCGACCUAUCUUCAUGAUUAGUAUUAUUGUAAAGGUUUAUAACAUGGUCGAACAACUAGCGCAUUUAAAUAAGUUGUAACUAUGUGAUACAUAAAAACUGUCGCAACACACAAGCACUUCCACUAUAUGCUAUUAAGCCUAUGCUUUACCUCUACACACGUGGAUGGAUCCUUAACAUACUCGAGUCAACCACAUUGCCAGGCUAUUAUUGUUUUGGUCCUAGCCCAAUAUUCCUAUUUUGAUUUAGAAUUAUAUAUGGAUAGGUCUGGAUCCUGUUCAUACUAACUUAUCUGUGCAAGGCCUUAGUAGGAAUUAAGAAUCUAGAGACACUUCUCGUUUUUAGGUUUGGAUCCUGUUCAUAGUGACUUAUCUGUGCAUGGCCUUAGAAGGAAUUAAGAAUCUAGAGACACUUCUUGUUUCUAAUCAUGGACUCAAAAAUAGAACUUUUUUUAACAAACUCAGCCAUGGAACUUUUACUCUACCUCCGUCAUCUACUUUUGAUCUUGGCAAAUUUAGUCACCUGCAUGAAGCAGGAAAAGGCUAAAUGAAUUCAUUCAUAUUUUUUUACUCACAUCAAUGGACAUUACAUGUCCUGUUAGUGCCUUUAUUCUUUUUAUUUGAUUGGCUUCCUCGAAAAAGUACUACAAUCUCAGUUGUAGUCUCGACUUGGAAGUUGCACAAAAACAUAUAUAAUUCGGUACUGUCAUAUCAGACAAAUUACUGAUGUCACUGCCUAUUGAAGUUUAUUAGUUGUUAGUCUGGUACUUUGGUUUGUAGUUAUAGGGUCAAAGUGUUACAAAGUUUCUAAAUAUAUAAUAUCUUUCACACUUCAGUUUUAGCUGUAAGUACGCAAUAAUAAUAUCACUGUAUUCUUCUUUCCAGGCAUGUAGCAUUUGCAAAUUUAAAGUAUAAAUCUUAUGUCACUCCAAAGGACGAGGCUAAAGUUAAGACCGAUGAUGUUGGUCGUAUACUUCUAACUUAUCGAAAGCGUGCAAGGUCUGUUGCCAUGUAUGGAUUUAUGAUUGGUUGCUCUGUUUUUUGUCCAUAAUUAGUUGAUAUGGUGAAUCGAGGACAAAUGAGUAAAUAACACAAACUUAGACAUAUUCUUAUCAUGUACCUUUGUGUAAUUUGGUGCUCCAAUGUACCAGAUUCUAAAGAAAACUUCAUUGAUAAUAUAUGUGUUCUUUUUUAUGUAAUCGGUGUGCGCUCACAUUUUGUUGAAUAUUUGUGUAUCGUCGGAACGCACGAGCACCUAACUAGUAGUACUUUAAGACAUUUGAUAUGGACGAUGUAUGUGAUAGAUAUAUAUCAUGUGGGUAAUUUAAUUAGUGAUGAAAUAUGUGAUGUUCUAUUGGUACUAAUAUAUUUGAUAUAGAUGGAUAUAUGUGGUUGUGAAUGUGUGUG